CAGCCGUAAAUAAUGUGCGUUAGGUAUGUCGGUAACCACGUGUUACUGAUGUGCCGAAGAGAAAUCGUGAAACGCACCACCUGGGAAGUACGGUCGCAAGGCUGAAACUUAAAGGAAUUGGCGGGGGAGCACCACAACAGGUGGAGCCUGCGGUUUAAUUGGAUUCAACGCCGGAAAUCUUACCGGGACCGACAGCAACAUGAAGGCCAAGCUGAAGACUUUGCCGGAUUAGCUGAGAGGAGGUGCAUGGCGUAGUCGUGU
rnacentral:rRNA from 1 species